rnacentral:rRNA from 1 species
CCCUUAGAUGUUCUGGGCCGCACGCGCGCUACACUGAUGCAUUCAACGAGCCUAUCCUUGACCGACAGGUCCGGGUAAUCUUUGAAUCUGCAUCGUGACGGGGAUAGAUUAUUGCAAUUAUUAAUCUUCAACGAGGAAUGCCUAGUAGGCGCAAGUCAUCAGCUUGCGUCGAUUACGUCCCUGCCCUUUGUACACACCGCCCGUCGCUCCUACCGAUUGAAUGGUUUAGUGAGAUCCUUGGAUCGGCCCUGUCGCGGCUGGCAACGGCCGCGUCGGCGCGUCGAGAAGACGAUCAAACUUGAUCAUUUAGAGGAAGUAAAAGUCGUAACA